GACGAACGCUGGCGGCGUGCUUAACACAUGCAAGUCGAACGAAGUGGCGAACGGGUGAGUAACGCGUAAUCAACCUGCCCUUCAGAGGGGGACAACAGUUGGAAACGACUGCUAAUACCGCAUACUGAAGGAGGGGAUUGCGUCUGAUUAGCUAGUUGGAGGGGUAACGGCCCACAAGGGCGAGGCUCAGUAGCCGGUCUUAUGGGGUGAACGGCCACAUUGGGACUGAGACACGGCCCAGACUCCUACGGGAGGCAACAGGGGGGAAUCUGCCGCAAUGGACGAAAGUCUGACGGAGCAACGCCGCGUGAGUGAUGACGGCCUUCGGGUUGUAAAGCUCUGUUAAUCGGGACGCGGUACCGGAAUAGAAAGCCACGGCUAACUACGUGCCAGCAGCCGCGGUAAUUC
rnacentral:rRNA from 1 species